rnacentral:rRNA from 1 species
UACAUGGGGUGCAAACGUUGCUCGGAAUCAUUGGGCGUAAAGCGCGUGUAGGCGGUUACUUAAGUCGGAUGUGAAAGCCCUCGGCUUAACCGAGGAAGUGCAUCCGAAACUGAGUAGCUAGAGUACGAAAGAGGGUCGCGGAAUUCCCGGUGUAGAGGUGAAAUUCGUAGAUAUCGGGAGGAACACCGGUGGCGAAGGCGGCGACCUGGGUCGAGACUGACGCUGAGGCGCGAAAGCGUGGGGAGCAAACAGG